UAGGUUUGGUCCCAGCCUUCCUGUUAACUUUCAAUAGACUUAUACAUGCAAGCAUCCACGCCCCGGUGAGUAACGCCCUUCGAAUCACACAGGACUAAAAGGAGCAGGUAUCAAGCACACACUCUUGUAGCUCACAACGCCUUGCUUAACCACACCCCCACGGGAGACAGCAGUAACAAAAAUUAAGCCAUAAACGAAAGUUUGACUAAGCCAUAUUGACCAGGGUUGGUAAAUCUCGUGCCAGCCACCGCGGUCAUACGAUUGACCCAAGCUAACAGGAGUACGGCGUAAAGCGUGUUAAAGCAUCAUACUAAAUAGAGUUAAAUUUUAAUUAAACUGUAAAAAGCCAUAAUUAUAACAAAAAUAAAUGACGAAAGUAACCCUACAAUAGCUGAUACACCAUAGCUAAGACCCAAACUGGGAUUAGAUACCCCACUAUGCUUAGCCCUAAACACAAAUAAUUAU
rnacentral:rRNA from 1 species